rnacentral:rRNA from 2 species
ACGGGAGGCAGCAGUGAGGAAUAUUGGUCAAUGGGCGCAAGCCUGAACCAGCCAAGUAGCGUGAGGGAUGACUGCCCUACGGGUUGUAAACCUCUUUUGUUUGGGAAUAAAGGAGCCUACGCGUAGGCUUUUGCAUGUACCUUUCGAAUAAGCAUCGGCUAAUUCCGUGCCAGCAGCCGCGGUAAUACGGAAGAUGCGAGCGUUAUCCGGAUUUAUUGGGUUUAAAGGGAGCGUAGGCGGCCGGUUAAGUCUGCGGUCAAAUGUCAGGGCCCAACCUUGGCAUGCCGUGGAUACUGUCCGGCUUGAGUGCACACAAGGAAGGUGGAAUUCGUCGUGUAGCGGUGAAAUGCUUAGAUAUGACGAAGAACUCCGAUUGCGAAGGCAGCCUUCUGGGGUGUUACUGACGCUGAGGCUCGAAAGUGCGGGAAUCAAACAGGAUUAGAUACCCUGGUA